UACGUAGGUGGCAAGCGUUGUCCGGAUUUACUGGGCGUAAAGAGCGCGCAGGCGGUCGUACAAGUCGCGUGUGAAAGCCCCCGGCUCAACUGGGGAGGGUCACGCGAUACUGUUCGACUCGAAGGCAGGAGAGGGAAGCAGAAUUCCCGGUGUAGUGGUGAAAUGCGUAGAUAUCGGGAGGAAUACCAGUGGCGAAGGCGGCGACCUGGUCCGGGACUGACGCUGAGGCGCGAAAGCGUGGGGAGCAAACAGG
rnacentral:rRNA from 1 species